CUUGUCCGCCGGAAUGAGAGGAGUUAUUACCGAGACUCUACAGCGGGUCGUUGGCUGCGACUGUAAUGUAGAGUAAGGCUAGCUUCUGGUAACCGGCGAGAGGAGUGACCCUGGCGUCCUAUCAGGAAGGCUGGCUGCCUUAUCGGGUUUUAGGGGAGUAGAGGUGAGGGGACUGGGUAGGUUAAGUACCACCAGCCAACUGGGCCUCAUGUUUGGUGCGCUGUCCUCGUUUUCACCACAUCUUUUGAAAACCGAGGUUGGUUGCACUUGGAACUGUGAUAGGAAUCAAUAUGGAAGGGAGAAAUACGCACUCACACAGAAAAAAAAUUAAAAAAUAGUUAAAGCCGUUCGCGGUGUCGCAUGCUUGUAUCCUAGCUACUUUGUAGGCUGAGGCAGGAAGAUCGCAAGUUGAGGCCAGCCUCAGCGAGACCCUGUCUCGAAAUUUUUAAAUGGGCUGGAGGUGUAGUUCAGUGGUAGAUUCCUUGCCCAGCCCAUGCGAGGCCUGAGUUCACUCCCUGUACCCGAAAAUAAUAAUAAUUAUAACAAUAAUACUUUUUUAGAAAAGGAGAAAAAUCAGUUUUCACAUAUGCAACGCGCAUAUGGGCCUGUAGAAACUCAGGUAGUGACUCCUGUGUGAACAGCAGUACCUGUUGGACUAAUUUUAAGCACUCAGAUGUAAGUUGAAUUUUUUUUUUUUAAUAUUUACUUUUUAGGUGUAGAUGGACACAACACAAUGCGUUUAUUUUUAUGUGGUGCUGAGGAUCAAACCAGGUUCUGCCCGUGCUAGGUGAGCACUCUACCGCUGAGCCACAAUCCCAGCCCAAUAGAAUAUCUAAUGAGCCAUAAAUAACAAUUUUUUUUUCUUUUGGUGCUGGGGAUGGAACCUAGGGCCUUGCCCGUACAAGGCAAGCACUCAACCAACUGAGCUAUAUCCCCAGCCCCCAAGUUGAAUUUUUAAGCUUCCUAAAUCUGCCUGUAAGUCGGUAAGUCAUUUGAUAUUAGAGGUGGAACAAAGCCAUCUUAAUUAUUCCUGUUAUUUCAGCUUAGAAUGAAGCAUAAGGAGAGGACACAGAUGGAAAGUCACAUUUGGUUCAUUACAAAGCCUGAUCUGAAAGUACAAUUUCUCAUUUCCAAUUAAGAAGCCUUUUUUUCUUCACUGUGCUCUGAAUUGCUAAUGAUUUGUCUUUUGGUCAGAAGUGAAAGGUGUGGAGUGAAGAGAAUGGUGAUAUAUGUUCAGAUACAGUAUGAAUCCAUCAAAGGAAAUAAGUCGUAUGUGUCAGGAGAACUGUCAAUCAUCUGUCUUUGAUAUUCUAUAGAUGCUGAUAAGGCUGUGAAUCUUUUUGUUAUUCUAUAGAUGUUGAUGAGGCUGUCAUGUCACUUCUGUCAUAUCCCAUUUAGCAGUAUAUAUGUUAUAACAGUGUGAAGAUGGGACUUUCAUUACUUGUUUCAGACUUCUGUCUAGGAAGUACUGGAGAUCAACAAGAUAUGUGUUUGUCAUAGAACACUUAGAGCUGACUACUUGUCUGUCCUUUUGCUGUGACUAUUUGCUUAAAAGAACCUGUAGAAGUUUACACAAAAUUCUAUGUGAAUGAGACCAUCUAUAAAGAACUUGUAAGUUAUUCGCAAUCUGAGUGAGGUGUUGUAGAGUAUACUACACUUAAACCUCUGCUGUCUUUUACAGUAAUAUGACAUUUGGUCUUUGUGCAGUUCAAAUGUGUUUUUGCAUUAUUGCUGUCUUCUUUCUCAUAUGAGAAAUGUAAAUGUGGUGCAGGAAAAUGGCAAGCCUGUGGAGAAAGUAAGGGAGCGUAAGAUGUCCAGAAAACAAAUUGUACCUCAGCAAAUAUUGAAAAACUCUUAGCAAAUGGAAAAUCGUAACUACUAAUGAACUAAUUCAACUGGAUGUUCAUUGUGGGGGAGCCAUGGCUACUUUAUACAAACAAAUUUCAACCUUUUUGGUCUUAAGAUGCCUUUAAAAAUUAUUGAGGACUCCAAAGAGCUUUUGUUUUUGUGGGUUAUUUCUAUCCAUAUUUAUGGUAUUAGAAAGUAAAAGAUGAGAAAUGUUUGAAAACAAGAAUAUACAAGCAUACACUUUAUUAGUCGUCAGUGAUAAAUGUUCUCACACAUCAGAUAGCCUUCAGUUAAAUUGCUGUUACUCAUGGAAUGAGAAGGAAAAGGGCAAGUAAUAUAUUAGUAUUCUUAUGAAAACAGUUUUGACCUAACACCUGAAGGGCUUUCAGAGGUCCUCAGAGGGACAUAUUUUAAGAAAACUGCUUUAUGCAAAUGUUUCAAAACUUUUUAUAUUAUUUACAUAAAUGAUUGUAUUUGAUUAUGACAUGAACAGAAGUAUCAUAUAAAAUGCAAUAACAAGCAGUCUUGUGUCUCCAGAAACUGUAUAAUUGAAGGCACAAGGAACACAAAUAGGUAUACAUUUUGUGUUCUUUUUUAUCGUGUUGGGUUUUCUUGGAGGGUAAGAGAGGUUGAACCCAGGGCCUUGCACAAGCUAGGCAGGCACUCUACCACUCAGCUUUAACCCCAGCUUUGACUGCUUUUUUUAUAUGGCUUCAGACAGUGGUUGAGACCAACUCCUGGAGAAUCAAGGGCUGAGAAGACCACCAGUUCAUUGGCUUUGGACAUGAACAAGCCACGGGCAGUUUUUAUUUUUGCUCAUUUCUUUGGCCAGUUAACUCUUGCUCACCUUGCCAAUAGCCACUAGUGUGUUACAGCCUCCCUCUUCCAUGUUCUUUCUCUCUAUCCAAAACUAAUGAUUUUUCAAUGGAUAAGUUCUGCACGAAAACAUUCACUACUAAAUAUAAUUGUUAUGUAAAAUAGGGUAAAUGGUAUUUAAAAUUUCUGGAUGUUAGGCUGGAGAUAUAGCUCAGUGGGGGAGUACUUGCCUAACAUGGGCAAGACCCUACAUUUGAUCCCCAGCCAAAAAACAAAACUAUAUAUUACAUAGAAAUCCUGGAUAAAUAGUUAUAUAUGGUUAUUUUGUGGGAAAAUGGCUUAUGGUCCUUUGAAAAGCUGAGAAAACAUAUAUUUCUGAUUUAAAAUAAUGGAACACAGGAUCCCACUAACUGAAAAUUUUAGACAUCCAUCCUCCUCCCCUUUUUUUUAUAGUUGUAGAUGGACAGAAUGCCUUUAUUUUAUUUUAUUUUUAUCCAUUCCCUUUUUAGAAAGGUUGAGAUUUUAAUAAUGAUAAGUGCCCCCAUUUGAUUAAAAUUUUUUUUGUUAGUUGUUGAUGGAAUUUUAUUUUAUUCAUUUAAAUAAAUAUAUGUGGUGCUGAGACUAGAACCCAGUGCCUCACACAUGCUAG
rnacentral:lncRNA from 1 species